rnacentral:tRNA from 1 species
AGGAAUGUAGUUAAUUAUAACAUUUGGUUUGCAUCCAAAAGGUACUAAGGUUAUUCUUUC